AUACGUAGGGAGCAAGCGUUAUCCGGAUUUACUGGGUGUAAAGGGCGCGUAGGCGGGACUGCAAGUCGGAUGUGAAAUUCCCGAGCUUAACUCGGGCGGGUCAUCCGAAACUGCAGAUCUUGAGUACUGGAGAGGAUAGUGGAAUUCCUAGUGUAGCGGUAAAAUGCGUAGAGAUAUGGAGGAACACCAGUGGCGAAGGCGGCUUCCUGGUCUGUAACUGACACUGAGGCGCGAAAGCGUGGGGAGC
rnacentral:rRNA from 1 species